AAUACGAGACCGUUCUCUAUGAGGCCGGUCAUCGGAAUGGGUACAAUCUAAACCCUUUAACGAGUAUCUAUGAGAGGGCAAGUCUGGUGCCAGCAGCCGCGGUAAUUCCAGCUCUCAAAAUGCAUAGAAUUAUUGCUGCGGUUAAAAAGCUCGUAGUUGGAUCUGUGCUAGAGACUUGGUCCACCUUCGGGUGCGUACUGAGCUCUCUUGCUUUUCUGCCGGUUUUCCCAGCAUGGCUUUAAUCGGCUGUGUUGGGUGGCUGGUGAUUUUACUUUGAACAAAUCAGAGUGCUUCAAACAGGCGUUUCGCUUGUAUGUUUUUGCAUGGAAUAAUAGAAGAGGAUUUCGGUUCUAUUUUAUUGGUUUUAUAGACCGAAAUAAUGGUUAACAGAGACGAACGGGGGCAUUAGUACUUUUGCGCUAGAGGUGAAAUUCUUGGACCGCAGAAAGACUAACUACAGCGAAAGCAUUUGCCAAGAACGUCUUCAUUAAUCAAGAACGAAAGUCAGAGGUUCGAAGGCGAUCAGAUACCGCCCUAGUUCUGACCGUAAACGAUGCCAACUAGCGAUCUGCCGGUGGAAUAUUCGCCCUGGUAGGGAGCUUCCCGGAAACGAAAGUCUUCCGGUUCCGGGGGAAGUAUGGUUGCAAAGCUGAAACUUAAAGGAAUUGACGGAAGGGCACCACCGGGAGUGGAGCCUG
rnacentral:rRNA from 1 species